AUUGAACGCUGGCGGCAUGCUUUACACAUGCAAGUCAAACGCGAAAGGGGGGCAACUCCUGAGUAAAGUGGCAAACGGGUGAGUAAUACAUCGAAACAUAUCCAGUAAUGGGGGAUAACCUCGAGAAAUCGAGGCUAAUACCGCAUACGUCCUAAGGGAAAAAGCGGGGGAUCGCAAGACCUCGCGUUAUUGGAGUGGCCAAUGCCGGAUUAGCUAGUUGGUGGGGUAAAGGCCCACCAAGGCUACAAUCCGUAGCUGGUCUGAGAGGAUGAUCAGCCACACUGGGACUGAAACACGGCCCAAACUCCUACGGGAGGCAGCAGUGGGGAAUUUUGGACAAUGGGCGCAAGCCUGAUCCACCCAUGCCGCGUGAGUGAAGAAGGCCUUCGGGUUGUAAAGCUCUUUCGGCCGGGACAAAAUCGCAUUCGUGAAUAUCGAGUGUGGAUGACUGUACCGGAAUAAAAAGCACCGGCUAACUACGUG
rnacentral:rRNA from 1 species